UUGAAGAUUUGUGGAAUUGUAUGAGUUUGGAAGGACAUUUACUGCCGUUUGAUUGAUUAUUUUCUUGAUGUUGCGAGAACGGAAGUGGUACAUCAUACAUGGGGUCGACUGGUUAAAAAGCCAGAAGUCGAAGGUUACCGAAAUUCAAAAUGUAAGUACAAUACACUACUCGAAAGGUUGAUGUUGUUCAAGGUCAGCAACAGUUUAUAUUUACAUAAUUCUUUAUGUCAGUUCAGUUUACGAUCUGUUUAUCGUAUUUUCAGGUGCUGAUUUGGCAGAUUUGGUAAACGUGGCGGCUCUCAAGGUGGCAAUGGACGGUGCAAAAUCGGUACCUUAUCGCUAUUUGUCGCUAUUCGCAAUUAACAACUAUGGGUGCCCUCGGAUGUUGGUGGAGUUGCUAGAGCACGAGCUUUUGCUAAAAAGUUAUCUGAUGCGCCAUUGACCAUUGUUGAUAAGCGGCGUCAUGGGCACAAUGUAGCUGAAGUAACGAAUUUGAACGGUGAUGUGAAAGGUAAAGUAGCAGUUAUGGUGGAUGACAUGAUCGAUACUGCUGGUACUAUUGCCAAAGGAGCAGACCUGUUGCAUCGUGAAGGGGAAGGGGCAUGGAAGUUUAUGCAUACAGCACGCAUGCUGUUUUUAG